UGAGAGGAGCCAACUAUGGACGUUUAAC
rnacentral:piRNA from 1 species